rnacentral:lncRNA from 1 species
UUUUCACUCAGCUCCUCCACUGUAGGUUCUGCACUUUCUGGAGUCUGCUGUGCUGACAUCAUAUCCUGACCAGUUCUACAGUCACCAUGUUGCUUUCUCCCAGCCGCCCCUUCAGACUUUGGAAAUGUUUAAUAUCUUGAUUUUCUUUUCCUGGGAUCAGAUCCCUGGUUUUGGUACUAGCUUUAUCAAGCACUGUACAAACAGUGUUUUUGCUUACGGUGCUGCUGUAAAUCACUCAUCCAGUCAACACACGGUAUGUGGGACAUACCUGUGUGCAAAAGUGACUCUCAUCCACCUGACAACUAAAAGUACAACCCACACUGGAAUUGGCUUGGACAGCAGCGGUCAUCCCAGUCACUCUGCUACGCCUGAGUUUGUAAGAGGUGUUAUCCCAAGAAGUCUUCACGUUGUUCUGGGAGAGACACGGGGAAGAUCAUGAUGAUGAAACUGUGGGUAUAAAGAGGGGAAACACAGAGUUCAUAGAGACUGGCUCAUCA